rnacentral:lncRNA from 1 species
GGCCGGCUUACGCGGAGGGCAAGCACCGUUGCCGCUCCCCGGGUGACCUUAUUAUCCCCCCCCCCCUCACCUGAGCGAGCCGCCCAAGCGACAGGCAUCUCGUCGGGUCGUUGAACAAAGCUGUUCCCGGCCACAGGGCGCCGGGCACCGCAGCUCAGAAAGGCGAAAAGAACUUUCUUAUUAAAAGGAAGAAUUUCAUGUUAAGGUGCUGCGGCUUACAUAACGAUUUUGGAUUGGGAGAUACGCUAGAAAAUAGUUCCAUUGCAGAGGAUGGUAAACAUCCGCCCGAGAGAAGAGAUGAUUCAUUUCGUGGGAGCAGUGCCAAGGGUGUGUGCUUAGAGUCCAGUUUUUCCAGACGAACAUCAUGUUGUAAAAGUCCUAGGGCUUCAGCCUCCGCUCAGGGACAUUUAUUGCUGGAGUUUUCUCAGAAAACUGUCUUCUUUCCAUUGCCACCGCCUCAAAGAAACUUAAAGGGGAGACGCUGCUCCGUGUGGUUUCCUUUUUUGUAACCCUUUUUUUUAAGGGAAGAUCAGACUCCAAGUGACUGUAGUAGCCUUGCGAUUUUUAUUCUGUUUAUUUAUUUAAUAAACUUUCCAGUAUAUUUUCAUGUGCCUAUUAUUCUGGGCCUUAUUGCCCUCUCUGUCCCCCAAGUUUGUUUGGAAUUUACUCUUCCAUUUCUGCCCUUGGUAGAAUAGGUAGAAAAAGGCUAUGAAAUUACGUACAAGGAAAGACAUAUGCCCAACUCACGACUGGGAAUUUUAACCGACUACACACAUAUAAACUAAGGUGCAUGAUAAUAUAUAAGAAAGGAUGAUCGAUAUUGCAUAGAGACAAACACUUUAGGUACCCAAGACGUGGUUCAUGUUUCCCACUUGGAUCUCCUGCAUCCGUUCAUUCAUUGAUUCGUUCAUUCGUGACCUAUUGUAAGUAAGUAAGACCAGCAUGGUCCCCGCCUUCACAGAGCUCUUGGAUGCUGACUAUGUAGACCUACCCUCCACUGAGGAAGUGAUGAUGCGUUAUCCAGAUGAAAGGGUGGGGAUGGAGGUGAGGGCAGAGCAAAGGACAGUAAAAUGCAGGGGGAGCUCUCCAGGCAGAGGGAAGACCAUAGGCAAAGGCGCUGGGAUGGGAGGCAGGAUGUAUGUGUGAGGGGCUGGAGGGCCAGCAGGUGGGAGGGGGUGCUAUUAGACAUGGCUGGAGUGGGCAGGGACCCACGCAUGCUGGCCGUGGUGGGAUUUGGAGUUUUAUCCUAAGAGCAAAGGGAAUUUGCUGA